rnacentral:rRNA from 1 species
CGGGGUCUUAACAUGCAAGUAGGACGCACAGUUUAUACUGUAGCUUGCUACACCAUAGACUGUGAGUUGCGAACGGGUGAGUAACGCGUAGGUAACCUACCUAUUAGAGGGGGAUAACUAUUGGAAACGAUGGCUAAUACCGCAUAACAGUAUGUAACACAUGUUAGAUGCUUGAAAGAUGCAAUUGCAUCGCUAGUAGAUGGACCUGCGUUGUAUUAGCUAGUAGGUAGGGUAAAGGCCUACCUAGGCAACGAUACAUAGCCGACCUGAGAGGGUGAUCGGCCACACUGGGACUGAGACACGGCCCAGACUCCUACGGGAGGCAGCAGUAGGGAAUCUUCGGCAAUGGGGGGAACCCUGACCGAGCAACGCCGCGUGAGUGAAGAAGGUUUUCGGAUCGUAAAGCUCUGUUGUUAAGGAAGAACGAGUGUGAGA